GAUGAAGAACGUAGUGAAAUGCGAUAAGUAGUGUGAAUUGCAGAAUUCAGUGAAUCAUCGAAUCUUUGAACGCACAUUGCGCCCCUUGGUAUCCCGAGGGGCAUGCCUGUUCGAGCGUCAUUUCACCACUCAAGCCUGGCUUGGUGUUGGGCGACGUCCCCUUUGGGGACGCGCCUCGAAACGCUCGGCGGCGUGGCACCGGCUUUAAGCAUAGCAGAAUCUUUCGCUUUGGAAGUCGGGGCCCCGUCUGCCGGAAGACCUACUCGCAAGGUUGACCUCGGAUCAGGCAGGGAUACCCGCUGAACUUAAGCAUAUCAAUAAGCGGAGGA
rnacentral:misc_RNA from 1 species